AGAGUUUGAUCAUGGCUCAGAACGAACGCUGGCGGCAUGCCUAACACAUGCAAGUCGAACGAAGCCUUCGGGCUUAGUGGCGCACGGGUGCGUAACGCGUGGGAACCUGCCUUUAGGUUCGGAAUAACUCCCCGAAAGGGGUGCUAAUACCGAAUAAUGUCUUCGGACCAAAGAUUUAUCGCCUUUAGAUGGGCCCGCGUUGGAUUAGCUAGUUGGUGGGGUAAAGGCCUACCAAGGCGACGAUCCAUAGCUGGUCUUAGAGGAUGAUCAGCCACACUGGGACUGAGACACGGCCCAGACUCCUACGGGAGGCAGCAGUGGGGAAUAUUGGACAAUGGGCGAAAGCCUGAUCCAGCAAUGCCGCGUGAGUGAUGAAGGCCUUAGGGUUGUAAAGCUCUUUUACCAGGGAUGAUAAUGACAGUACCUGGAGAAUAAGCUCCGGCUAACUCCGUGCCAGCCGCCGCGGUAAUAC
rnacentral:rRNA from 1 species